UACGUAGGUGGCAAGCGUUGUCCGGAUUUACUGGGCGUAAAGGGCGUGCAGGCGGUUUGUUAAGUGCAGGGUGAAAGCUCCCGGCUCAACUGGGAGAGGUCCUUGCAUACUGGCGAACUCGAGGGAGGCAGAGGAAAGUGGAAUUCCCGGUGUAGUGGUGAUAUGCGUAGAUAUCAGGAGGAACACCGGUGGCGAAGGCGGGUCUCUGGGCCGAUACUGACGCUGAGGCGCGAAAGCGUGGGGAGCAAACAGG
rnacentral:rRNA from 1 species